GAAGACACACAAAGACACACUAACAGACAGACACACACACUAACAGACAUUUAGAUACACACAGACACAUGGACAGAGACAUAUACAUACACACACUGACAGACAUGGAUGCACACACACACACUGACAGACAUAGAUACACACACACACACACUGACAGACAUACACACACACACACUGACAGAGAUAGAUACACACACACACUGACAGACAUACACACACACACACUGACAGACAUAGAUACACACACACACACUGACAGACAUACACACACACACACUGACAGACAUAGAUACACAGACACACUGACAGACAUACA